UGGGUUGUAGCUCAAUGGUAGAGCACUUGCCUAGCAAAUGUGAGGCACUGGGUUCGAACCCUAGCACCACAU
rnacentral:tRNA from 1 species